GGGAUGGGGUAACAGACACAGAACUCUCAGGAGUGGAUGGGGGGUGGUUACAGGACUGGCAUGGAGAAGCUCCAAUGCGCCAGUUGCAGAACGUGGCCAGCUGCCGCUGGUGCACUGAACACCACAGCACCCAGGCCACACGGCACCCUGGUCUGGCUGAGAAACAGCACCUUUAGCCAGGCUCUCCAGAGCUGCCCCGGACCAGGGAAAACAACGCAAAGCCACGAUCAGGAUACAGCAAGGAGGAAGCUAGCCAUAUUUCUGGAAUGACAGUGUGAUAUCAACAGUUAUCUGUUUUGGAGGCUGAGAAACUUGGAAGAUUCCACCAAUGUAGGAUUGCUGUGGAUUGAAGAUCAGCAAGUGCCAAUUUUCAUCGAUUGCAAUUUACAGUUGCAGCAUAAUUCAUAUUGCUUUUCUACUUGCUCUCUUGCUCUUUUAUUUUGUGUUUACCCUGCAUGUAGUAGAAAUGCUUGCAUGUUCAAAACAUUUUCUGCUGAGA